rnacentral:tRNA from 1 species
GCCUUUGUGGUGUAGUGGUCAGCACACUCGGCACGUAUUCGAGAGGUCCAUGGUUCGAAUCCCGGCGAAGGCA